AAUGAACGCUGGCGGCAUGCCUAAUACAUGCAAGUCGAACGACAUCUUCGGAUCUUGUGGCGCACGGCUGCGUAACGCGUGGGAAUCUGCCCUUGGGUUCGGAAUAACUUCUGGAAACGGAAGCUAAUACCGGCUGAUUACUUACGCCCAAAGAUUUAUCGCCCAAGGAUGAGCCCGCGUAGGAUUAGGUAGUUGGUGAGGUAAAGGCUCACCAAGCCGACGAUCCUUAGCUGGUCUGAGAGGAUGAUCAGCCACACUGGGACGGAGACACGGCCCAGACUCCUACGGGAGGGGGGAAUGGGGGAUAUUGGACUACCGGCGGAGGGAUGAAGCACCAAGGCCGGGAGAGUAAUGUAGGCCUGAAAGAAAUAAAGCGCUUUUACCCAGGAGGAUAAUGACGGUACCGGAAGAAUAAGCUCCGGCUAACUACGUG
rnacentral:rRNA from 1 species